rnacentral:rRNA from 1 species
UACGGGGGGGGCAAGCGUUGUUCGGAAUUACUGGGCGUAAAGGGUUCGUAGGUGGCCAACUAAGUCAGACGUGAAAUCCCUCAGCUUAACUGGGGAACUGCGUCUGAGACUGGAUGGCUUGAGUGCAGGAGAGGAACGCGGAAUUCCAGGUGUAGCGGUGAAAUGCGUAGAUAUCUGGAGGAACACCGGUGGCGAAGGCGGCGUUCUGGACUGCAACUGACACUGAGGAACGAAAGCCAGGGGAGUAAACGGG